rnacentral:rRNA from 1 species
UGGAUUUGACAUCCUCUGACAGCCCUGGAAACAGGGUCUGUCCGACUUGUCGGAACAGAGUGACAGGUGCUGCAUGGCUGUCGUCAGCUCGUGUCGUGAGAUGUUGGGUUAAGUCCCGCAACGAGCGCAACCCUUGUUUUUAGUUGCCAGUAUUAAGUUAGGCACUCUAAAGAUACUGCCUCGGUUAACGGGGAGGAAGGUGGGGAUGACGUCAAGUCCUCAUGGCCUUUAUAUCCAGGGCUACACACGUGCUACAAUGGACUGUACAAAGGGUCGCGACAUCGCGAGGUGAAGCUAAUCUCAAAAAACAGUUCUCAGUUCGGAUUGGAGUCUGCAACUCGACUCCAUGAAG